rnacentral:rRNA from 1 species
UGGGGAAUUUUGGACAAUGGGCGAAAGCCUGAUCCAGCAAUGCCGCGUGUGUGAAGAAGGCCUUCGGGUUGUAAAGCACUUUUGUCCGGAAAGAAAUCCUUGGCUCUAAUACAGUCGGGGGAUGACGGUACCGGAAGAAUAAGCACCGGUUAACUACGUGCCAGCAGCCGCGGUAAUACGUAGGGUGCAAGCGUUAAUCGGAAUUACUGGGCGUAAAGCGUGCGCAGGCGGUUUGCUAAGACCGAUGUGAAAUCCCCGGGCUCAACCUGGGAACUGCAUUGGUGACUGGCAGGCUAGAGUAUGGCAGAGGGGGGUAGAAUUCCACGUNUAGCAGUGAAAUGCGUAGAGAUGUGGAGGAAUACCGAUGGCGAAGGCAGCCCCCUGGGCCAAUACUGACGCUCAUGCACGAAAGCGUGGGGAGCAAACAGGAUUAGAUACCCUGGUAGUCCACGCCCUAAACGAUGUCAACUAGUUGUUGGGGAUUCAUUUCCUUAGUAACGUAGCUAACGCGUGGAAGUUGACCGCCUGGGGAGUACGGUCGUCAAGGUUAAAACUCAAAGGAAUUGACGGGGUC